AUAUGCAAACUUUAACAUAGAUUUAUCAAUAAUAUGCAUAUUCUAAGUAUAAAAGGGGCCAUAAUUCUGUCAAAAUGCUUGAUACAGUUGUCUGCUCUUGUUUAUAGGUUGGGGUCAUGAUGGUAAACAAGUAUGCAAAAUAUGAAAGCAAUAUGUCAA